CCUACGGGUGGCAGCAGUCGAGAAUCAUUCACAAUGGGGGAAACCCUGAUGGUGCGACGCCGCGUGGGGGAAUGAAGGUCUUCGGAUUGUAAACCCCUGUCAUGUGGGAGCAAAUUAAAAAGAUAGUACCACAAGAGGAAGAGACGGCUAACUCUGUGCAAGCAGCCGCGGUACUACAGAGGUCUCAAGCGUUGUGCGGAAUCACUGGGCGUAAAGCGUGCGUAGGCUGUGUCGUAAGUCGUGUGUGAAAGGCGCGGGCUCAACCCGCGGACGGCACAUGAUACUGCGAGACUAGAGUAAUGGAGGGGGAACCGGAAUUCGCGGUGUAGCAGUGAAAUGCGUAGAUAUCGAGAGGAACACUCGUGGCGAAGGCGGGUUCCUGGACAUUAACUGACGCUGAGGCACGAAGGCCAGGGGAGCGAAAGGGAUUAGAUACCCGUGUAGUC
rnacentral:rRNA from 1 species